UAAUAAUAUAUUGAUCUUAAAGUAGUCAUUUUAUAAGUGACCAUAGUAUAAGUAGUUUAUUUAAAAUAACUGAACAGUUUAAGGGUCACUACAAGAAAAGGUGUAGUGGAAAAAGUGACAGCUGUGGAUAGAAAUAGCUCGCCAUCCCCCAAUUUUCACACUCACUGAACAAAUGAAUAGCGUCCAAGAGUGGAAUCUGUUUCACGCUAGCCCAAAUGUUCUCUUUCCAAUAACACAUUCUCUUUUGGCCUUACACACACAGACACACACUUUAACUCAUGGUUGCUGUCCCCUGCUCUAUAACCACAUUCCAUUUUUCCUCCCAUGGGAUAAAUAUAGGGCAGGGGAUCCAAAACUUUUGUCAGUCAAACUCCUUACACUCUAAAAAAUUCUGGGUUUUUUUUUCACCCAAAAUGCUGGGUUGAGACCACUGGGCAGGACAUUGGGUUGUUUUAACCUAAGUUUGGGUUGAAAAUUGGUCUUGAUCAUAACCCAGUGGUGCUGGGUUGGGAAUGCGGACUUGAAGGAGAGCAUGCACGUCACGUUAAGAUCAGACGUCGCCAGUGUGAGAAGCCACCAUUUUCUCAGCAUGAAAGAAGUGAGAGAAAGACAUUAUGAACUCAAAACCAACAUUGGAGUUGUCUGAUUUGGAGAGUCAUCAUUCUUGGGUCUUCCCUCUUGAAAGAAUAGUUCACACAAAGACUUUUGUCUGUCUUUACAACACAAAUAUAAUUAUUAGUUAAUCCAUUAAGAGUCUAGAUAAUCAGUAUUUUCAAGCCUCAUUAAUACAGAGUUAUUGUAGAAGUAAUUAAUUCCAAUAUUUAUAUAUGAAUAAAUCUUAAAUUAUAUGAUAGCGAACAUGUAUGUUCAAAAUAAAAUAUUGGUCUCCCAGACUUGCAAUGGAGGACAAAAAUUAAGAGAAUAUUAAAUAUAUUUAUCUGUGUUCCAAUUAGCAGAGUUUGUAUAGGUCUGGAACAACAUGGGGGAGAUUAUGACCAUCAUUAUUUUUUGGUGAACUAACCCUUUGAAGAGCAGCCAUCCACAUACAUCCACAUGCUGUGCUGAUGGGGCUUCUUCAUGACUACAUCAAUUAGCUAAAGAGAUAAUGAAAAUUGACAGUGAUGCAUGUUCUGCAUUCAUGGACUAUGAAACAAACUACUGGACUAUUGUAAUGCUCUCCUGGCAGGCCUUCCUGUAUGUACUAUCAAGCCUUUGCAACUGAUCCAGAAUGAAGCAGCGAGGGUUGUUAUGAGCCAAAAAAAGCUCACGUUACUCCUCUCCUCAUCAGGUUACACUGGCUACCAGUACACUGGCCGUUCGCAUCAAAUUCAAGACGUUUGCGCUCUGCAAGUGAAUGAUGCCUUGUGGUGCCACCCCAAAGAAGUUCAAAAUCACUUUCAAUUACCUUUUCCUGGACUGUGCCCAGCUGGGGGAAGGACCUCCCAAUCUCAUAUCUCAUUUUCAAGAAACAUCUAAAGACUCAUCUUUUUCGCUAGCACUUAACCAACUAAUACUAGCCCUUUUCUUUCUUUUCUUGUCUUUCAUAUAAAAAAACAAAAAAACUGGCUAUGCGUUCUUUACUAGACUAACUGAGACUUGUCAUGACACUUGUAUACUGUUGUUGUUCUCUUAUUGAUCUGAUUGCUUCUAUUGUUCUCAUUUGUAAGUCGCUUUGGAUAAAAGCCUCUGCUAAAUGAUUAAAUGAUUAAAUGUAAAUGUAAUAUAAUCAUUUGUAAUUGUAUAUACAUUGUUGUGAUUUAUUGUGGCUGGAACAUCAGAUGCUUGAUAGACACAAUGAGUUUGUCUUUACUACACGUUAGAUGUGAUCCACCUCAUAGUAACAAUCUGGUCAGAUCGUCCAUUCUUUGAGUGAGAGUGUAAUGUUACAGGUUGGCUGAUCUGGUUUCGUGGUUCAAGUUAAACUUUUUGACCUGUUUCAGUGCUGUUGUUGCUCAAUGCUCAGCAAUGGCAAGGACGCAAUGUUGUCUCGGGGUUUGACUAAAGGAGAUUGGUAUGGUGGGCAGUGCUAGGGGUGUUGACUAGUGUUGGGUAUCAUUUAAAUUUUAUCGAUUCCGAUUACAAUUCCGAUUUCAAUUCCGAAAAUACUGUACAUGUGUGUUUUCUUUCUUAUUUGUUUACGUUCACAUAAGACAAAAAUUGCUGUGUUUAUGAUGAUAUACUGAUACUGAUAGUUUUUGUAUAUUGGUCGACAAAUAUGAAAGAAGUCAGUUUCGGCUCAGAACAACCUUUUCU